UAGAAGUCUAGACCUGGCAGACAGGCCUGCACAGUGACAGAGACCCCGAAGUUGGCCACUGUUGUGUCCUCUGCUGUGAGCUUCCAUCACUGCCUUGAGCCUCCUUUGUGUGUCCUUUGCUGGCCUCUGUGUUGAGCUGCCCUGGUCACACCUCUCUCUGUGGCCACUUCACUUCUCUAGACCUCCCGGAGCUCCAAGCUGCUCCUGGUACUCAUUCAUUCAUUCAUUCAUUCAGUAAACAUUCCCUGGGGGCUGUUAUGUCUAAGGCUCUGAUCUAGAAACACUCCAUCUCAGGAGUGCACAUUCUGGUGGGGGCGGCAGAAAUGAACCCACAGUUUUAACCAGGGCAGCAACCCAGGUGUGCCACAUGGGCACACGAAUAAACCAGUCAUCUCCCCAUCUCAAGAGCUCUAACUUCAUCACAGCUGCAAAGCCCCUUUUGAUAAACAAGGUAGCACAGUCACAGACCUCAGGGAUCGGGACGUGGGCACCUGAUGGGGCAUGAUUCAGCUUACUGUAACCCAGAAUCAAUGAUGUGCGAAGUCACAACUAAAGCUCCCCCAUGCCAAUCUUCCCAGGGGCACACUGCUCUCUGAGAUGUCCUGGGGCUUUAAGCAUCAAAUAAUUGAAAAUAAUCUCCUUUUUGGG